UACGUAGGGGGCAAGCGUUGUCCGGAUUUAUUGGGCGUAAAGAGCGUGUAGGCAGCCAGGUAGGUCUGCUGUGAAAACUCGAGGCUUAACCUCGAGCUGUCGGCGGAAACCAUCUGGCUAGAGUCCGGAAGAGGAGAAUGGAAUUCCCGGUGUAGCGGUGAAAUGCGCAGAUAUCAGGAGGAACACCGGUGGCGAAGGCGGAUCUCUGGGCCUUACCUGACGCUCAGGUGCGAAAGCUAGGGGAGUGAACAGG
rnacentral:rRNA from 1 species